ACCCUUUCCUACUUUUCAUAACUUAGAAUCCCUAGAAAAUACACUUUCUCUCUUUUUAUUUUCUUGGAGAAUUGCCGCUCAGCCUUCUUCUCUGGCAAAGCAACGCCAGAGCUCUGGUGAACUAAAGUAACCAACAAGGACGAACAGACCACUGCUCGUCCCCUCUCCUCCGCCUGUUUCUUCUUCUUUUGGUUUGAUCUCUGAUGAUAGCUGGAGAAAAAUUCAUAUCCGGCCGGUAUUCACUAGAAUCCAAUCACGCAUCACCACUACUCUGCGUUUCACCACUUUUUUCCGCUUGCUCCAUGGUUUUUGGCCGGAGUUUUUCGCUGAAAUUUCAUCGGCCAUAUAGUUCAUUGUUUGUUGGUCAUAGUUGUUUCCAGAUUUGCAAACGACCCCUACCCCGCCAUUAUUUUCCGGUUUCUGCUCACAUCUCCUCUUCUUUAUCUCCUCCACCCCUUAGAUCAUCACACCUCGUGAAUCUCACCGGAAACACACUUAAAACUUUCAGAUCUAACUUUCCCUCUUUUCAUUUUCUUGGAGAACAACUGACUCAACCUUCUUUUCAGGCCAAACAACGCCGGAGCUUCGACGAACUAAAGUAACCAACGACGAUGCACAAAUAAAUGCUCGUCCCCUCUCCUCUGCCUCUUCAUUUUCUUUUGCUCGAAUCUCCGAUGCUAGCUGGAGAAAAUUUUAGAUAUGGCCGGUAUUCACUAGAAUCCGGUCACGCACCACCACUGCUCCGCGUUUCACCACUAAUUUCCCCCUUGCUCAGUGUUUUUGGUCGGAGUUUUCGCUGAAAUUUCAUCGGCUUAUGAUUCUUUGUUUGUUUGUCAUAGUCGUUUUCCAGAUCUGGAAACGACCCCUCCCCCGCCAUCAUUUUCCAAUCAAACACAGAUCAAAAUCUCUACUCACGCCGUCUUUUCUUUAUUUCCUCUGUCCCUCACAUCGUCACACUGACGUGAAUCUCACCGGAUAUACACUUAAAACUUUCAGAUCUAAUUUUCUCUUUUUUUCAUUUUCUUGGAGAAUAGCUCAUUCAUCCUUUUUCUCCGGCAAAGCAACGCCGGAGCUUCAACGAACUAAAGUAAUCAAUGAAGACGCAUAAACCAUUGCGUGUCCCCUCUCCUAUGCCUCUUUCUUCUGUGUUUGCUUGAAUUUCCGAUGAUAGCCGAAGAAAAUUUCAGAUCUGUUCGAUAUUCGCCAGAAUCAGGUCACACACCACCAUUGCUCCGCGUUUCACUAUUGUUUUUCCCUUUGCUCCGUGUUUUUGGCCGGAGUUUUUCGUUGAAAUUUUGUCGGCUGUAUUGUUCUUUGGUGACCCCUCCCACGCCAUUAUUUUCCAAUCAAACAAAAAUCGGAAUUUCCACUCACAUCCUCUUUUAUUUAUCUCCUCUGCCCCUCACGUCAUUACACCGCCAUGAAUCUCACCAGAACACACUAAAACUUUCAGAUCUAACUGAAAAAUUAACCAGAUAUGAAAGUCAUUGCCGGAGAGUAUAUUUUUUUCCGUCCAAAUUUGUCGUCAUUUAUACAUUUGCUUGACAAAUAUAUCCAUGAUUACUUGAUUAAAAAGGGGAUGAUUAAGACUGCUGAGACAUUUGCUAGCGAAGCUAAUUUUAUUAAUCCCAUGGAUGUUGUUAUCAAAUCUCCGGAGGGAUUUCUUGCGGAAUAGUGGAAUGUAUUUUUUGAUAUACAUCUCGAGAAUGCUCAAGAAUCCUAUGUUGAGGCUGCACUGACAAUGGACAAUGUGCUACCUUACAUCCCUUCUGCUGUGGCAACAUCUUUUCCUCAUUCUGCUAGACCAGCACAUAAUAUAUCUCCUGUGGCACCGACCUUUAGUCCCGAGAGAUUGCAAGAGAAAUGCCAUCUUUUAACACCUGACGAUGAAGUGACAUCUAAGUCUUUUGAGACGGAUCUUCCGAGUCAGAGGGUGACAUUUUUAACCGAUUCUAGGUUGUUGCAGACAUUAUAUAAAUCAGUUCUUUUAAAAUUGCACGCUAUCUCUUUUUACUUCUUGUUUUGCAAAGGAUAUUACCUGACCGGCGGUGUAGGUUCUACGGAUUUCUAGGAAGAAAUCCACAUUGUAUAGUUAUUUAUCCGUAGGAUGGAAGCACCAGUAUAAUGAUUUGACUGAUAAUUCAUUGAACGAUCACAAUUAGAAAAAUCACAAAUUGAUUCUUGGACAAGGUCCUGACUCACUUUAGAAAGGGAGGACUAUCAAUGACAUAAAGAGUGUGGAUUUAAAAGGUCGGAACGAGUGGUCUCAAACUUCAAACAAAAUAGGAAACGCAGGGUAGAACACCAAACGUAUGGGGUCAUCAAAUCCUUAUUCUCAUGGACUCCACACCAAGUAUAAGAAACUAGAAUUGGAUGUACUUCAAUUGAUAUAGCAUGUUAUAAUUACAUAGAGGAUAUGACAUUUACCGAUUUCAUUUAUAUGAAGUCGGUUUCAAAGAAGCUGAUAUGCCUAGAGUUUAAAUUACAAUUGUGGAACAUAUUGUGCUCGCAACUACUCUUCAUAGAGUUGGCGUAGAAGCGGGAAACGAAACUAAUUCGAAAUUGUGUUUUAGCUUCUGCAUUUCUGAUGAAGAUUGAAUGUGGAUUGUCAUUUCUGCUACUAAUUGUUUUCCAUUGUAAAAGUGGGUAUUUUGCAAAUUAUUCAAGUGGAGUGACAAGCUUCUAGCAGUAGAGGAGAAGGAAGCCACCAAAAUUGCUAGGCCAAAUGAUGACACAAACCACACAAUUCAAGGUAAUUAGUUUUGAGGCACUCUUUGAAUUGCUUGAUCAGCUAGCAACUUUGAUGGAGAUAAUGAAAAGCUGUUGAUCAAGAAAUAAGGCUCUUCUUGCAGGCUCAGAGAAAACAAACGACUUAACUGAUGAUAAGGGGCCUUGUAGCUGUGAUUUGCAUCCUCUGCUUGAAACUGAUCAAGGCACCAACUCUUGUUCACAAUUGCUUAAUUAGAUUUGGAGCUUUGACAGAGCGCUUACAUACUUUUUGCCUCAGCAUGACCAGGGAACUAUUGUUCCCGCUCAACAUGUUGACAGAAAUACAGUUUCUAGUCGACAGAAAGAGAGAAACGAUGUGGUUAGAAAUAAGCGCAAGCGUGAUUCACAUUCACUGCUUGCAUCUGAUCAAAACUUUAUGAUGCCGAAUGCAAAAUCUCAACCUACUAGGCUUCCUUCUCCUCUGCCCGAAAAUACUUGUUCAGGGACACAUAAACCUAACAAUGGUGUUGUUACUGCAAGUAACAGUCUUAACUGGACUUGAUAGAAAAACACAGACAUCGUUCCCUUUUUCCCCACUCCUCACCUUCUCAAAUAUUUCAUGUAAAAUAAGACAAAAGGAAGAACCUCCCAAAUCGAAAACAAAAACAAUAACCAAAAUAUUCUCCGUAAUAUUUUGUAUUUGUAACCGAUGACUUUCAUGAAAUUGGAUUAAGGGAAACUAAAAAGGGGGAAUUGAUCCACUUUGCCACCAUCAUCCAACCACAACCUACGCUAGUCGUCAUAUAAACUUGAUGUAUGUGUUGGUUACAGUCACAAAAUUGCACCUUCAAUGUAACACUCAUGUUCAUUAUUGUAGAGAUACUAAAACAGCGUGUCACAUAAUGCAAACAUGUGAUGUUAGUGCUUAUGUGUCCCUGUACAAGUAUUUUCGGGUAGAGGAGAAGGAAGCCUAGUAGGAUGAGAUUUUGCGUUCGACAUCAUAAAGUCUUGAUCAGAUGCAAGCAGUGAAUGUGAAUCAUGCUUGCUCUUAUUUCCAACUACAUUGUUUGUUGCUUUCUGUCCAUCAGUAAUUGUACUUCUCUCAACAUGUUGAGAGGGAACAAUAGUUCCCUGGUCAUGCUGGGACAAAGAGUAUGUAACCGCUUUGUCAAAGCUCCAAAUCUGAUCAAGCAAUUGUGAACGAGUUGGGGCCUUGAUCAGUUUCAGGCAGAGGAUGCAAAUCACAGCUAGGAGGCCCCUUAUCAUCAGUUAAGUCGUUUCUUUCUCUGGGCCUGUAAGAAGAGCAUAUUUCCUGAUUAGUAGCUUUACAUUAUCUCCAUCAAAGUUGUUAGCUGAUCGAGCAAUUCAAAGAGUGCCUCAAAACUAAUUACCUUGAAUUGUGUGGUCCGUGUCAUCAUUUGGUCUAGCAAAUUUUGUGGCUUCCUUUUCCUCUGCUGCCAAGAGCUUGUCACUCCACUUGAAUAACUUGCAACAUACCCACUUUUACAACAGGAAACAAUUAGUACCAGAAAGGACAAUCCAUAUUUAAUCUCCAUUAGAAAUGCAGAAGCUAAAACACAAUUUCAAAUAAGUUUCUUUUCCCACUUCUGCGCCAACUCAGUGAAGAGUAGUUGCUAGCACAAUAUGUUCCACAAUUGUAAUUUAAAAUCCGGCAACAUCAGUUUCUUGGAAACUGACUUCAUAUAAAUGAAAUAGCUAAAUGUCAUAUCCGCUAUGUAAUUAUAACAAGAUAUAUCAAUUGAAGUACAUCCAAUUCUAGUUUCUUAUACUUGGUGUGGAGUCCAUAAGAAUAAGAAUUUGAUGACCCCAUACCUUUGGUGUUGUACCCUGCAUUUCCUAUUUUCUUUGAAGUUUGAGACCACUUGUUCUGACUUUUUAAGUCCACACUCUUUAUGUCACUAAUAGUCCUCCCUUUCUAGAGUGAGAGCCAUGACCUUGUCCAAUAAUCAAUUUGUAAUUUUCCUAAUUGUGAUAGUUCAGCGGAUUAUCUGUCAAAUCAUUUUACAAGUGCUUCCAUCUUCUGGAAAAAUAACAAUUCAAUGUGGAUGUCAUCCUAGAUAUCCACAUAAUAUAUACCACAGUCAGGUGAUUCCUUUGUAACACAAGAAGAAACAAAGAGAGAGCUAGGUAAUUUGAAAUUGGCAAAUGCUUCAACUUUGAGUAAUUUAUUCUCCCACGAGUGAAUAAAUGUGGUUAUUAAGAGCUUAAAAUUGAUCAUCCUCCUCUGUCCCUUUGGCAUCUCAUUAUCCUUUGAUUCUAAACAUGGUAACUAAAAAUAUGCUCUUUUUUGCUAUGUGGCUUGGACUCUCCAAAAAUGUGUUGGGUGUGCGAACAAAGUACCACAUUGGUAGCUAGAAAAAAAGAGCUACUUAUAAGGAGUUGGAUACUCUAAAUGAUGUGAGGCCUUUUGGGAAAAACCGUGCUGGCUUGGCCCAAAGCGGAUAAUAUCACAUCAUGUUAAGAGUAUCUUUGGACCGUUUUAGCCCAACAACUGGUAUCAGAGCCAAUGGUUUAGCGAGACGAGUAUGAAGAUGGCAAAGUGUGGCGUGGGACCCGGCUUAGUGCCUUUGCCUGUUUAUGGGCCGAUUUACAACCUUUACCAGUAUCUUUGAAGACGCAUACACAACCUUUGGGCUUCGGUGACCGUAAAUACUCUGACAGUGUGAGUGGCACAAAGACAUGUUGAAUCUCUGAUCCGUGGUAUGAUAAUGAGCCAUGUGGAACUUAGUUCGAGGGGGAGAUUAUUGGGUAUGUGAACAAAGUACCACAUUGGUAGCUGGAAAGAAAAAACAGCUACUUAUAAGGAGUUGGAUACUCUAAAUGAUAUGAGGCCUUUUGGAAAAACCGUGCGGGCUUGGCCCAAAGCGGACAAUAUCACAUCAUGUUACAAUGUGGGUGGCACACAGACAUGUUGAAUCUCUGAUCCGUGGUAUGAUAAUGAGCCAUGUGGAACUUAGUUCGAGGGGGAGAUUGUUGGGUGUGCGAACAAAGUACCACAUUGGUAGCUGGAAAGAAAAAAUAGCUACUUAUAAGGAGUUGGAUACUCUAAAUGAUGUGAGGCCUUUUGGGAAAAACCGUACGGACUUGGCCCAAAGCGGACAAUAUCACAUCAUGUUAUGAGUAUCUUUGGACCGUUUUAGCCCAACAAAAUGCACUACUUUUGGAGGAUCUGACCCAUACCUGGUGGCAUUUAUAUGUUCUUUAAGCGGUUUCUUCUUUAUUUCUUGUUUUAAUUCCUUGAUUUUUCUUUAUAUUGUAUCUCCAGGGGAAAUAAAGUUGUCCAAAAAGUAUCUAAUCAAUCAAUUAUGGUUGUUAGCUGUAAGUUCCCUGCAUUUUUCACAUCAAUAGAAAGAUUCAGCUAUGACUAAAAUUUAUGCAUAUUUAGGUUCAUUUCUUUGUAGUUCAUUCUGUUAUUUUUUUCUUCUCAGGAAGUUACCUCUGUUUAUGCUGCCAUUCACUAGUAAUUGUUUACUAGUACCAAAUCAAAAGAACAACUGUCAUAAGCUGAAUCGUUAUCACAUUAUCUGGGCUUUACUUGAUAAGCUGAUAGUUUCUGCCCCUCCAAGUUUGGUGAUUUUAACAAUGAUAUAUAUGCUUAUUCUUUCCGACUUAAGUGGAAAUAAUGCAGAAGUAACUGGAAUACUCAUAAGUAAUCAUUUUUUCUUGAUGAUCGCAACAAAGCACUUAUUUUGGUUUUCAUAUUGAGCAUGAAUUCAUUUUCAGAAAAUUUGAAAUCUUUGUGCAACUCCUUGUGUGGAUUAUCGUUAUUUAAGUAAGAAACUAAGAUUAAUACUUUAAUCUAAUAUCUAAGAGUUUUAUGCUGGAAAAGGUUAAGACUCAUCAAGUAAAUAUUUGCAAAGAGUUUCAUCUUAGGGAUUGGUGAUGGCGGCUGCCUCAUGUGGUUAUGGGGACAGAUCAGGAAACAUACGUUGGUGGGAUGUUACUACUGGACAGUCGUCCCAUUUAAUACCCAUAGGGAAGGGAUCUGUAGAAUCAAGUUCUCAUCAGUUGUACUGGAGAUUGUAGAUGUUGGCGAAUUGCCAUUUUGUUUUAUGAUAACACAUUCUCGGUGUUUGAUCUGGGCUCACCCGAUCCAUUAGCCAAUUCACUUUUACAACUUCUGUUUCCUGGAACUCUUGUGUUGGAGCUCGAUUGGUUACCUUUGCGAUCAGGCAUCUCUUUGAUUUUUAGCCCUCAUUCUACAAGAAGCAAGAUACUGUGUUUCCACUUUCAUCACAAGGGAUGUGUGUUGGCUGAUGCUGGGCAUGAGAAGAAAAGAGCAAGUGUGUUGGCUGAUGGCACCAUGUGAUUCAACUUAUUCGUUUCAAAGAAUAGUAAAUUUGAUGUCACUUCAUCGUCGGGUGUCAUAAGAUGACAUUGCGCUUGCACUCUCUCAGCUAAAAAAUUCAAUUUAGGUUUCCCUUGCAUCACUUGAACACUUGAUCUAAUUGGAAACUGUAUAAACAUGGGUUGGUUAUCUCC